GAUGAACGCUGGCGGCGUGCUUAACACAUGCAAGUCGAACGAAGAUGCCGGAGUGCUUGCACUUUGGCAGACUGAGUGGCGGACGGGUGAGUAACGCGUGGGUAACCUGCCUUAUACAGGGGGAUAACAGUUGGAAACGACUGCUAAUACCGCAUAAGCGCACGGUAUCGCAUGAUACAGUGUGAAGAACUCCGGUGGUAUAAGAUGGACCCGCGUCUGAUUAGCUUGUUGGUGAGGUAACGGCCCACCAAGGCGACGAUCAGUAGCCGGCCUGAGAGGGUGAACGGCCACAUUGGGACUGAGACACGGCCCAAAACUCCUACGGGAGGCAGCAGUGGGGAAUAUUGCACAAUGGGGGAAACCCUGAUGCAGCGACGCCGCGUGAGCGAAGAAGUAUUUCGGUAUGUAAAGCUCUAUCAGCAGGGAAGAAGAAAUGACGGUACCUGACUAAGAAGCACCGGCUAAAUACGUG
rnacentral:rRNA from 1 species